AGAGCGAACGCUGGCGGCGUGCUUAACACAUGCAAGUCGAGUGCGCGCCUGUAGCAAUACAGGUGGCGCACGGCGCACGGGUGCGUAACACGUGGGUAAUCUGCCCUUCGAUGGGGAAUAACCUCGCGAAAGCGAGGCUAAUUCCGCAUAACAUUCCGAUGGUUCCGAUCAAUGGACUCAAAGCCGUAAGGCGUCGGAGGAGGAGCCCGCGCACGAUUAGCUAGUUGGUGAGGUAACGGCUCACCAAGGCUUUGAUCGUUAGCUGGUCUGAGAGGAUGGCCAGCCACACUGGAACUGAGACACGGUCCAGACUCCUACGGGAGGCAGCAGUGGGGAAUCUUGCACAAUGGGCGAAAGCCUGAUGCAGCGACGCCGCGUGGGGGAUGAAGCUUUUCGGAGUGUAAACCCCUUUCGACCCGGACGAAUGCCUCGCAAGAGGACUGACGGUACGGGUAUAAGAGCCCCGGCUAACUACGUGCCAGCAGCCGUA
rnacentral:rRNA from 1 species